GAUAUAUGUAUAAAUUGUAAGACUUACAUUUCAAUAGUCAUUUGAGGCGGUGUCUUCAUACAGAGUGGUUUUUCAUUUAAGUAGCAGAAUUAUUUUUCUUAGCCGAACUCGCACGAUAUUACAGUGAUACUACCAAUAUCAAGAUCAGAUUAUCCGAGAAAAUAAUCGAAACCAUGGAUGAUAAAGAAUCUUGUAAUUCGUGGAACGGUAUAGACUCCGGCGAGAAGAUUGUUAUUUCUGGUAUAUCUGGAAGAUUUCCGGAUUCAGAUAAUAUGAAUCAGUUACAAAAAAAUUUAUUUAAUAAACGUGAACUUAUUAGAGCAGGCGAUGGCGGACAGGUGAAUAAUUUGUAUGCACUACAGUUCUGCAACCAUGCCUGAUUGACGAAUGAAAGAUAUGUCAGAAUUAGACAAAAAUCUAAUCUAAUUAACAAUUAUGAAUUACAAUUACAAUAUAAUUUUUAAUGCAAUUAAUAUAUUUUUAAUCGUUAUUGGUUGCAAACAAUUAAAUGAGAUAAUCGCGAAAAAUAAUUGUUUACGUUAAAAUGGCUAGACUAAUUAAUUCAUUAUAGAAAUACUACUGUUUGUUUAGUUUGUUCAGAUAAAUUAAUGUUUUAACAAUCAACAGUAUAUCUUCUAGAUUUUAAGUGUUUUUAUUAAUGAAGGACUCUUUACAUUUUUAUUAUUAUUUAAAAACAAUUUUUUAGGACUUAUACAAUAAUGUACAAUAUAUAUUUCUUUUCGCCAAGUUUUUUAAUAACCAAUAAUGUCUUGAAUCAAGACCGAUAUGUAUCCAACAAUUAAGUUAGAAAAGGCUAUCUUUUAAUAAAAUAUUUAUUUGUAUUGAA